rnacentral:rRNA from 1 species
GAUGAACGCUAGCGGCAGGCUUAAUACAUGCAAGUCGUGGGGCAGCAGGGGUGUAGCAAUACAUCUGCUGGCGACCGGCAAACGGGUGCGUAACACGUACGCAACCUUCCCGUUACUGUGGCAUAGCCCAGGGAAACUUGGAUUAAUACCACAUAUUAUAUAGAGAGGGCAUCCUUUUUAUAUCAAAGCUUCGGCGGUAACGGAUGGGCGUGCGGUUGAUUAGGUAGUUGGCGGGGUAACGGCCCACCAAGCCUACGAUCAAUAGCUGAUGUGAGAGCAUGAUCAGCCACACGGGCACUGAGACACGGGCCCGACUCCUACGGGAGGCAGCAGUAAGGAAUAUUGGGCAAUGGACGAAAAUCUGACCCAGCCAUGCCGCGUGAAGGAUUAAGGUCCUCUGGAUUGUAAACUUCUUUUCUCUGGGGCGAAAACCAGCUAUUCUUAGCUAUUUGACAGUACCAGAGGAAUAAGCACCGGCUAACUCCGUGCCAGCAGCCGCCGUAACAC